CAGCCGCCGCGGUAACACCAGCACCUCGAGUGGUCAGGAGGUUUAUUGGGCCUAAAGCAUCCGUAGCCGGUUGCAUAAGUUUUCGGUUAAAUCUAUGCGCUUAACGUAUAGGCCGCCGAAAAUACUGUGCAGCUAGGGAGUGGGAGAGGUACACGGUACUCGAUAGGAAGGGGUAAAAUCCUUUGAUCUAUUGAUGACCACCUGUGGCGAAGGCGGUGUACCAGAACACGUUCGACGGUGAGGGAUGAAAGCUGGGGGAGCAAACCGGAUUAGAUACCCCUGUAGUCCCUGUCUCUUAUAC
rnacentral:rRNA from 1 species